rnacentral:rRNA from 1 species
UAUGGUACCUAAACUUUGUCAAAGCUUGAUUUUGUCAGAAGCUAAGCAGGGCUGGGCCUGGUUAGUACUUGGAUGGGAGACUGCUGGGAAUACCAGGUGCUCCAAUGG